GACUGCCGAGGGUGUUUAAUAAUCUUCUUUGAGUAAAAGCAUAUUGUUCCUUCUCGUGUUUUAGGUAGGGAAUUUGCGACAUAAGAAAAAGCAAUUGCUAAAACCAGAUGGCCGCAGCAAGGAAACUACUAGCGUAUCUCAUCAUUUUUGCAAUGUGUGCAAUGAGUUGUCACUGUCUGCCACAAAGUGCAGCUGUGAAGGUAUCUGUGGAAGAACGGUCGUAUAGGACUCACUGCUGGAGACAUGAUUGCCGCUACACCUUCAGCUGUCCAAACCCUUGCCAAUGUCCCGGGCCUUUUCAGCGCUUGCUUGGACGCACAACUUGUUAUUAAGGGAGAUUCCUAUUGACAGUUACAAUAUUUUAAAAUAAACAUUGUUCAAACAAAAGCUCCAGUGCACCGGUUUUUAUUGGCCUGUGAUAGUACAUAUUGUAGUGGGCUGAUUGCAACUUUUGAUUGAAAC
rnacentral:lncRNA from 1 species